AUAACUCCGACGCGGGUCAAAGUGUAGUACCUGUUUUUAUGAUAUAAAUAUCUAAUACGGGUUCUAUUUGGAUCCAAGAUACAUCCAACUUAUUUUUGCAAGUUGGCGGAGUGCUUGAAGCCUGCUUCACCUCCGCCGCGGGUUGGCCCGGUAUUGCACCGACUCCGGGAUCGGCCCACGGUUU